rnacentral:rRNA from 1 species
UGCUGGAGGUAUCAGAAGUGCGAAUGCUGACAUAAGUAACGAUAAAGCGGGUGAAAAGCCCGCUCGCCGGAAGACCAAGGGUUCCUGUCCAACGUUAAUCGGGGCAGGGUGAGUCGACCCCUAAGGCGAGGCCGAAAGGCGUAGUCGAUGGGAAACAGGUUAAUAUUCCUGUACUUGGUGUUACUGCGAAGGGGGGACGGAGAAGGCUAUGUCAGCCGGGCGACGGUUGUCCCGGUUUAAGCAUGUAGGCGGAGGUUCCAGGUAAAUCCGGUACCUUAUUAACGCUGAGGUGUGAUGACGAGGCACUACGGUGCUGAAGUGAUAAAUGCCCUGCUUCCAGGAAAAGCCUCUAAGCAUCAGGUAACACGAAAUCGUACCCCAAACCGACACAGGUGGUCAGGUAGAGAAUACCAAGGCGCUUGAGAGAACUCGGGUGAAGGAACUAGGCAAAAUGGUGCCGUAACUUCGGGAGAAGGCACGCUGAUAUGUAGGUGAAGUCCCUGCGGACGGAGCUGAAAUCAGUCGAAGAUACCAGCUGGCUGCAACUGUUUAUUAAAAACACAGCAC